GACGAACGCUGGCGGCGUGCUUAACACAUGCAAGUCGAGCGGUAAGGCCCUUUCGGGGGUACGACGAGCGGCGAACGGGUGAGUAACACGUGGGUGACCUGCCCUCAGCUCUGGGAUAAGCCUGGGAAACCGGGUCUAAUACUGGAUAUGACUCCAUGACGCAUGUUGUGGGGUGGAAAGCCUUGUGCGGCUGAGGAUGGGCCCGCGGCCUAUCAGCUUGUUGGUGGGGUGANGGCCUACCAAGGCGACGACGGGUAGCCGGCCUGAGAGGGCGACCGGCCACACUGGGGACUGAGACACGGCCCAGACUCCUACGGGAGGCAGCAGUGGGGAAUCUUGCGCAAUGGGCGAAAGCCUGACGCAGCGACGCCGCGUGAGGGAUGACGGCCUGG
rnacentral:rRNA from 1 species